GGCCGGGCUCGGCUCUCGGCUGUUCAGGUCUGUUUACCCGGCAGGCCCGGCGGCGCCUCAGUGAGCGGGCUCGGCACCAGUAUGCCUUCGGCUCUGGAGAACUACAUUAACCGUACAGUUGCAGUGGUCACAGCAGAUGGAAGAAUGAUUGUGGCAGGGUACACUGAAAGGAUUUGAUCAGACCAUCAACUUAAUCCUAGACGAAAGUCACGAGCGAGUAUUUGGUUCACAACAAGGUGUGGAACAAGUAGUACUCAGCUUAUACAUAGUGAGAGAAGACAAUGUCUGUGGUUGCUCACCUUCAAACUUGGCGGAGUUUUCACAAAACUAUAAAACAAAAAUAAUGAAAAUUAUUUGUAAAAGAUAUGCAACAGAAUGGAUUGAGAUUUGACAGAGAAAAAAAUAAAAAUGCACCAAUAUCAAGUCUUGAGCUAAUUCACAUUGUGAAUGUGAUCAAGCACUUUGUCAUGGGCUGCAAAAUUAUGUGGGACUGAGUUUUUACCUAUUUUUAUUAUAACAUUAAAUCAAGGAAGUACAAUGUUCCUUCAGUUUCUACGAGAGAUAGUGUACUACUAUUCAGCACAUCACAUUAGAAGAAUGUAAUGAAGUGGGCAGUUUAGUCUGAAGAACAUUUGAAAAGCAUUCUGAAGUUUGCACUUUCAAAAUUUGGUCCAAUACUUCCUUUCCAUUAAAUUUAUUCUCCUCUCUUUUACAACGCCAUUUUCUUGCUUCCGGAGU